rnacentral:lncRNA from 1 species
GAAUGCAAAAAAUGUGGUCAGUCCUUUACUGAAUUAUCAGAACUUAAAAGGCAUUACAUAAUCCAUGCUGGUACAAAAGAUUACAAAUGUAGAGAAUGUGAUAAGUCCUUUACCCAGUACUCAACUCUUCAACGCCAUCUGGCAAUUCAUAUUGGAGAAAGACAUUACAAAUGUAAGGAAUGUGACAAAGCCUUUCUUCAUAACUCACAUCUUAGAAGACAUCAGAGUGUUCAUACUGGAGAGAAGCCUUAUAGAUGUAAGGAAUGUGACAAAUCUUUUACUAGAAGCUCAAUUCUUAAACAACAUCAGAAAAUUCAUACUAAAGAGCAGCCUUACAAAUGUGUGGAAUGCGACAAAUCCUUUUCACAGCCCACACAUCUAAGAACACAUCUGAGAGUUCAUACUAAAGAAAAACCUUAUAGGUGUACUGUAUGUGACAAAUCCUUUACUACGAGUGCAACUCUUAGAAUACAUCAUAGAGUUCAUACUGGAGAAAGACCAUACAAAUGUACGGAGUGCAACAAAUCUUUUCGUGAAGGCACAACUCUUAGAGCACAUAAGAAAAUUCAUACUGGGGAGAAACCUUACAAAUGUAAGGAAUGUGACAAAUCCUUUAUCAGGUAUGCACAUCUUCAAAGACAUCAGAGAGUUCAUACAGGAGAGAAACCUUACAAAUGUAUGGAAUGUGGCAAAUCUUUUACUGAGUGCUUUCUUCUUAGAAAGCAUCAGAGAAUUCAUACUGGAGAGAAACCUUACAAAUGCCAAAACUGUGACAUAUCAUUUUUGUGUAUUUCAAAUCUUAGACAACAUCAGAAAACUCAUACUGAAGAAAAACAUCCUGUUGUAAAUAAUGUGAUAUAACAUUUAUCUGGUGUUCUCUGCUUACAGAUCACAAGGAGAUAAGUAGUAGACCCACAAAGAUAACAAGCUUGUGAAAUCCUUUAAUAAAGAUUGAAAUCUUUAGAAGUAUAACAAAGUUUAUAUUAAAAUAAAAUUCUGUACAUGUCA